rnacentral:rRNA from 1 species
GGUUGACCUCGGAUCAGGUAGGGAUACCCGCUGAACUUAAGCAUAUCAAUAAGCCGAGGAA